rnacentral:lncRNA from 1 species
AUAUUUAUUAGCUUUAUUUUAAACAUUUUUUUUACUUCUUUCUGUUUAUUCUGGAUUUAUUAUUAUUCGUUUGAUACCAAUUUUUAUUGAGUUCGUGAAUACACGUAAACCACGAAAUUAAAUGUACAAACAAUUAAAAAUUGUGUAUAGGGUUUUAUGAAGAAUAAAGCAAAACCACGAACUCAAAUAUCCACGAAAAUGCAAGUGUUCCUCUGACCACGAAAAUUAUUACCGGA